GAUGAACGCUAGCGGCAGGCUUAAUACAUGCAAGUCGUGGGGCAGCAGGUCUGUAGCGAUACAGAUGCUGGCGACCGGCAAACGGGUGCGUAACACGUACGCAACCUUCCCGUUACUGUGGCAUCGCACAGAGAAACUUGGAUUAAUACCACAUUUUAUGUUGAAGAGUCACCUCUUUGGUAGCAAAACUUCGGCGGUAACGGAUGGGCGUGCGGUUGAUUAGGUAGUUGGCGGGGUAACGGCCCACCAAGCCUACGAUCAAUACCGGAUGUGAGAGCAUGAUCAGCCACACGGGCACUGAGACACGGGCCCGACUCCUACGGGAGGCAGCAGUAAGGAAUAUUGGGCAAUGGACGCAAGUCUGGCCCAGCCAUGCCGCGUGAAGGAUUAAGGUCCUCUGGAUUGUAAACUUCUUUUCUCUGGGGCGAAAACCAUCUAUUCUUAGGUGUUUGACAGUACCAGAGGAAUAAGCACCGGCUAACUCCGUGCCAGCCGCCGCCGUAACAC
rnacentral:rRNA from 1 species